UACGGGGGGGGCAAGCGUUGUUCGGAAUUACUGGGCGUAAAGGGCUCGUAGGCGGCCAACUAAGUCGGACGUGAAAUCCCUCGGCUUAACCGGGGAACUGCGUCCGAUACUGGAUGGCUUGAGUUUGGGAGAGGGAUGCGGAAUUCCAGGUGUAGCGGUGAAAUGCGUAGAUAUCUGGAGGAACACCGGUGGCGAAGGCGGGUCUCUGGGCCGAUACUGACGCUGAGGAGCGAAAGCGUGGGGAGCGAACAGG
rnacentral:rRNA from 1 species